rnacentral:tRNA from 1 species
GCAGUAAACCUUUCCCCAAAGACACGCGAGACUCAAAAUCUCGUGCUAAAGAGCGUGGAGGUUCGAGUCCUCUUCAAGGCA